GACCAACCAACAAACCAAUCGAGGCAGCUAACGCCUGCUCUGCAGUCAGCCACUUGCCGGGCGGUCACCCUCCCUCUCCAUGGUCCUUCUCAAAUCCCUUCCUUUUCUGCUUCUCUAAUGCCAAUGAACCCUUCCUUUUAUGGGUAACAAAUCGCUCAAUAAGAGGUCUAGCAAGAGCAAGCGAUCUAUCUCCAAGCCAGACAUAAUCAUGCCUCCUUCUCAAACUUCUCGUUUCACUUUCGUGAAAGUGCCCCUGUUUGUUUUAUUAGUUAUGGCAUUCAGCGUUAUCGCUCUAUUGGGCCUUUCAUCGAUCAUGUGGAGCGCUCUAGCGUCCACUUAUCACUCCCCUAAAUUAUAUACAAUUCAAGUGCUCAAUGAGUUCCCUCACGACCCCAACGCCUUCACUCAGGGUCUGCUUUAUGCAGGAAAUGAUACAAUAUUUGAGUCAACGGGCCUUUAUGGCCAGUCAUCAGUUCGGAGGGUUGCUCUUCAAUCUGGGAAGGUUGAGGUUCUUCAGGAGAUGAAUGGUUCUUAUUUUGGGGAAGGUUUAACUCUUCUUGGUGAAAGGCUGUUCCAAGUAACUUGGUUGACAAAAACUGGUUUCAUAUAUGACCGAAACGAUUUAAGCAAAAUUGAGAAAUUUACUCAUCAGAUGCAUGAUGGAUGGGGACUGGCAACUGAUGGAAAAAUUUUGUUUGGCAGUGAUGGAACUUCAACAUUAUAUCAGAUUGACCCUCAAACAUUGAAAGUAAUUACGAAACAUACUGUCAAAUAUGAAAAUCAUGAAGUACGCUACCUCAAUGAACUAGAAUUUGUAAAUGGCGAAGUUUGGGCGAAUGUUUGGCAGACUGAUUGCAUUGCAAGGCUCACACAAAGAUGGCACUGUGGUUGGAUGGAUUCUUCUUGAUAAUUUAAGGAAGGGAUUGGUAGCAGCUGGGCAAAAAUUACUGGAAAAUUGUGGCCAAAG
rnacentral:misc_RNA from 1 species